rnacentral:rRNA from 1 species
UACGGAGGGUGCAAGCGUUAAUCGGAAUUACUGGGCGCAAAGCGCACGCAGGUGGCUGAGUCAGUCGAUUGUGAAAGCCCUGGGCUUAACCUGGGAAUUGCAGUCGAUACUACUCAGCUAGAGUAUGGGAGAGGGCAGUGGAAUUCCCGGUGUAGCGGUGAAAUGCGUAGAUAUCGGGAGGAACAUCAGUGGCGAAGGCGGCUGCCUGGCCCAAUACUGACACUCAGGUGCGACAGCGUGGGGAGCAAACAGG